UUUCUUUGUUUUUAUUUCACAGAUUCAUUAUUUCUUGAAAGCACCACCCCCCAGUUUAUGUCUUUAUCUGCUUCCCUGAGGGCACUGAGCCUGUUAAUUGCAUAAAAAAGUUCUGAAACUGAGGACUGAUAUGGAGGUUUCAAGGUACUGACAUAACAGAAGAUUUACGCAUCUGAUUAGGAUUUGCAGCACAAAGACUCUGUGCUGCCUCCCUCCUGUUCCAACAGCUUUCGAGGAGCAGUGGCUGAAAAUGGAUACUCAAAGUAGGACUGACUGAGCAGCCAACUAGCAGCACCUGCUCCUUUUUAAGGAUUAUUUCAGACUGCUGCUUAUUUCAAACCCACCUGGAAACUGUGUCCACAAAAACAAGGAUAUGCUUUUGCAAAAUAAAGAGCUGAGUAGCAUAA